UUUGCCUUUCUGUUCUUUGUUGACGCGCUCAUGGGCAGGGCAGACAGGGCGCCGGCGAAGGGAGGGGGAGGGUGGGAGAAGGAAGGUGGGCCUAGAGCGCGCGCCGCCUCUAUUGUGGCUCGGUGGAGAAGUCGGGAGAGUAGGCGCGCCUACUCGCCGCCGAGCCGGGGGGAGGGGAUGAGCUACGCUCUACACCUACCGCCGCGUAUGUUGUUGCGGUUCAAGGCGGUUGCUAGAGCGGAGUUCUACCAAUGGGUCCGAGAAUAAAGAUUCUCGUCGUUCAUGGUUAAACCUUUUAAGUGGGAACCCUUUAAGAACUCAGAAAAUUACCAAAGACCGAAUUAUAUGAACGAACGCGUGUCUUCAAGUUUCCCAAAACAUAGACCACUCGAGGUAUUGUUUCUUCAUCUCUCAUCUGUACGGUCAUUUCUAAGAGGAUGAUAGGCAUGUAAGACCUCUUUCGGUGGUUCCGAUGGAGGUGCAGAAGGAGGUUUACUUUAUAUAUUCUUGUCAAGUUAUGAAGUGGUGGGGGGAAGUAGACUUACCUGUAGGUCCGUCUUCUUUCAAUUUCUUCGUAAGCUUGUACGUACCAGACCGAUGGCUUUAAUACGCUACCCAGUACUACUCGAAUACGGAAACUCGGCGUCUCCACAUCUGCCUAAUCCUCCAGAUCCACGAUGACAACACCUAAGAAAUCUGUGACGUUAUUAUUACCCACGACUGCUAUAACACAGACUUCGUAGUUUUACCUAACUUCUGUUGGAUUACUUUUUCUAGUCGCUCUUUCCCGUCCAGUUGAAUAAACUUUGGUGAUAGGCACAGAACCCUCCCGAAGAAUCACGCAUAGUAAACUCACCACCUCUGGUUCGUCCUCCUCCACUAAGACCCUAUCGUCAUCGUGGAUUGUUCUGAUUAGGUCUAGCAGACGACCGUCAGAGUUUCCUAAAUCGUCUGUCUAAUAACAAUCGAAAAUGUAGUUCAGGUAGCCGAUAUGGAAAAUCGCUACAACAAGAAGCACUAGCAAGACGUGUACGUAGGGGACUACCGAAUUCGUCAUGGAGACUCCGAUGUUGUAACGUUGACCUCAAGUCAAUGGAAUCGUCUUAUAGUCCUCUAGGUUUCAUACUGAGUCUCUGUUACUUCCACAAUCUCGUAUACGCUUGUGAGGGUUGUCACCUCCCAAACCACGGAUAAAUAUAAUUAGGGAUGAGACCUGUCAAAUCGCCUCUCUUAUAAGCUGAUCCCAGCGCACCACUGUCAAUGAUACUUAUGGAUAAUUUUCAAACCUAAGUCGUUCUUUUAAUAGCAUUGUGAUCGAACUUCAUAGAUAAACUUUACAUAUGCCUUCGCUACUUUCCCCAGUUCGUAGAAGAACAAGCUUUUUGAUGAGGUUUACCCAAUCAAAAACAACCCCUCGAAGGGUCACCUGCUUUACCACGAAAAUCGGGAUUUUACCUAGUGGACCAAACAAAAGAAGGACCGUGGGAACGAGACCCACGUUGUUUCCCAUAGUGAUUCUUUUUCCGAGAACUUUCAUUAGAAGAUUGAUUUCUUCUGUAUCUUUUAGAAGUCGAACGACUUCUAGACCGAUUUUGAACACAACUUUACAUGAAACACUGAAGAUGACCUGAACGAGGACUUUAACGAAUAAAAGUGUAACUCCCAUUAGGACUUCCACCUGGACUACCGCCCUUGUUUUCAAGACUUAUAUAAUCACUGUAGUGUUAGUUCGGAGAACUAGCAGUGUUGGAAAAUGCGGGUCUCUGACACCUUAGGGAAAAACAAGACGUAUCUUAGUGUCUCCUAGGUUUCAUAUCCCUCACCCCAACCGUUUAAAAAGUCCGGAAACUCUUCAUAUGUUUUCAACUAAGACCACCAAUAUGAAGUGACCUACUACAGUGUUCGGAUGGAGGUGGAUCCUCUCUGUUUUACCUUUGGAAGAAGGACCCCCUUUGUAACUUCAUGGACAUAAACGACAAACCACUUUCAUUAUAAGAAGGUGACCUGUUCAUACAUAAAUUAUGACUCCGGGUGGGUGAAGGCCAGUAAGCCAGACACCAUGUCCAAAGAUUAUGGCAUAUCGUAGUUUACAUAGUGACAACAUGAAUCACACGAUUCUACUCUUUCCAAUUGAUUGUCUUUACACUCUUUAGAACCUUGAAACAAAAACCUGUUGGUCCGACUUUGUUACUCAUCGAAAGAGGAAAGACCUACAAACACGAACACGGUGUCCGCCAAGUUCACCGUUCUUUUAACAAGAACCUUCGUUUCGAGUUUAUACACAGUAGAAGUAUCAAACUAUGUCUCUAGACGUGAACAUAAAUAACCUUCUAUUAUAUAGAAGAGAUUUGACACGUUAGGUAAGGUUAAGACUUAAUGAAGUACCGUGGUGGUUCUAAAAAUAGAAACAAUAUAGAUGAUAGUACACAGUCGGCAGAUUGGAGUAUAUUACAGGGUGGUUCAACCUGAGACGGAUGGACACGUCUGCUCGAGAACUAACUUGUUCAGUUUGUAAAUUUAAGUUACCCUUAAAGUUCCUUUUACCAAUCAUGAACUCACUCCAAUGACGGAAGGUGUCGUGUUGGUAGAGAUGAGAAGUUUCAUGCCUCUUCACUCCAUUUCCUGACAGCCCGUAAAAGCAUUCUUUCUUAACAGACCAAGGUGUCGUGAAACUAAUACCGAAUAGGUCAAACACGAUCACCUGUCAGACGAUUGAUGAGCAUGAAUUGACUAUUGAGAAACUUUAAAAUACUCGUUAUAUUCAAGAGUAAGCACAUAACGACAUUCCGACAGGAUCUGAUUGGUUUAACGGACUCAUGUGCCUUUUACGAAAUUUCUAUUUUACUAAGGUGGCGGAAUUUGUUGAAAGGACAGAGACUACAUGACUAGAGAAGGUACACAUGGUCGGCAAACCGAACAGAUCCUGUCUGGAAAUCUUAUACUUGACCGUAAGUCAAAACGAGCAUCUUAAUGUACCGGAACAGUAAUUGACCGGUAGUAGGUUCUUAAAACCCUUCGGAAGUA
rnacentral:rRNA from 1 species